rnacentral:rRNA from 1 species
ACCCGCUGAACUUAAGCAUAUCAAUAAGCGGAGGAAAAGAAACCAACAGGGAUUGCCUCAGUAACGGCGAGUGAAGCGGCAACAGCUCAAAUUUGAAAUCUGGCUCACGCCCGAGUUGUAAUUUGUAGAGGAUGUUUCGGGUGAAGCCGCGGUCCAAGUCCCUUGGAACAGGACGUCAUAGAGGGUGAGAACCCCGUACCUGGCCGCCGGUGCCCCCCGCUGUGAAACUCCUUCGACGAGUCGAGUUGUUUGGGAAUGCAGCUCUAAAUUGGUGGUAAAUUCCAUCUAAAGCUAAAUACCGGCCAGAGACCGAUAGCGCACAAGUAGAGUGAUCGAAAGAUGAAAAGCACUUUGAAAAGAGAGUUAAAAAGUACGUGAAAUUGUUGAAAGGGAAGCGCUUGCGGCCAGACUUGCCUGCGGUUGCUCAUCCCGCCUUUUGGCGGGUGCACUCUUCCGCAGUCAGGCCAGCAUCGGUUUGGGCGGUCGGAUAAAGGCGUUGGGAACGUGGCCUCCCCUCGGGGAGGUGUUAUAGCCCGGCGCGCAAUGCGACCAGCCCGGACCGAGGUUCGCGCUUUGCUAGGAUGCUGGCGUAAUGGCCGUAAGCGGCCCGUCUUGAAACACGG